rnacentral:rRNA from 1 species
UACGCAGGUGGCAAGCGUUAUCCGGAAUUACUGGGCGUAAAGGUGCGUAGGUGGUUUCUUAAGUCAGAGGUGAAAGGCUACGGCUCAACCGUAGUAAGCCUUUGAAACUGGGAAACUUGAGUGCAGGAGAGGAGAGUGGAAUUCCUAGUGUAGCGGUGAAAUGCGUAGAUAUUAGGAGGAACACCAGUUGCGAAGGCGGCUCUCUGGACUGUAACUGACACUGAGGCACGAAAAGCGUUGGGGGCAACAGGAUUAGAUACCGGUACGGUCCUCGAG